GCGAACGGGCGAAGCUUCGUUAAUAGCUCUGAGGGUGUGUUAGGCAAGGUCUCAUAGCGUGUACCGGAGAUGUGGAGGAGGAGGUGUUGAGGAGGUGUGAGUGUAAGCGGUGGUGUAAUUCAUGUGAUGGAGAUGGAGGUGUAUAGGCUGGAAGGUGGAUUGAUUGUGGACAUGGGUGUGUUAGGCAAGGUCUCAUAGCGUGUACCGGAGAUGUGGAGGAGGAGGUGUUGAGGAGGUGUGAGUGUAAGCGGUGGUGUGAUAAAGGUGAUGGAGAUGGAGGUGUAUAGGAUGGAAGGUGGAUUGAUACGGAACAGGUAUGGACAGGUAUUGUGGAUAGCGGUGGUGGUGGUGAUGGAGAGGUGGUUUGAUUGUAGACAGGUGGUGGUGGUGGUGGUACAGGUGGUGAUAUAUGCCGGAAGGUAGUUUAAGACAGGUAUUGAAGGUACAGGUGUGAUGGGCAAGGUGGUAUAGCAAAGACAGGUAUAGGUAAGGUGGUUCAGGUAAAUGUGGAUGUGACGAGGUGUGCAUAUAGAUGGCAGAUGUGAAGGCAGGGAUUUGGGUUUGCUUGGGUAUGUAAAGAGGGAAGGAGAGAGGAAGGGAGGGAGGGAGUGUACGGAGGAAUGUGGAGUUUGCUUUGGUGUGGAGGGAGGGAGGGAAGAAGGAGGGAGGAGGUGGAGGUCUAGAUGAAGGCUGUAAGGGGUGUGGGUGUGGAUGAGGAAUGUGAGGAAAGUUUAAAGGGGUGGAGGAGGAGGAUAUGACGUGGAGGACUGAUAAGAUGUGGGAAUAACGGGAAGAGAAGAAAGAAUGUGGAUUAAGAGAAAUAUAAAAAACGAUUGACGAAGGAAAGGAGAAGAGGGUACUGGAUGGAUAAAAAGAGAGAAAAUAGGAGGAAUGUGUAGAAGUGAUUGCUUUAGAAAGUAAGAAAAGACGAAGGUGGAGACGGAGAAAAUGAGAGAGAAUAAGAUAUAAUGGAAAACGAAGCGAUAAGAAAGGUAAAAAUAAGGAACAGGACGGAAAAAAAGAGGAAUAGAUGUGAUGGAGGUGGAGAUGUAGGAGGAGGAUAAGGAUGUAUAAGGUGUGUGAGAAGCAGAUGUAUUAGGGAAACAAACGAAUAAGCGAAUGCACCAAAGCGAUACAGGGGAGGAAGAAGAACACAUCCCGAAGACAGACAGGGAAGAAGUAUGUUGUGUCGCGAAGGAUCAAGGGAUUGGCAGACAUUUUAGGACCAUUUCAUUGUGGUCCAGAAAAGUUCAUAACAGUUCACGAAGAAAAUGGAAAUGGUGUCAGGAAGGAACAAGGGAUUGGCAGACAUUUUAGGAGCAUUUCAUUGUGGUCCAGAAAAUUCAUAAUAGUUCACGAAGAAAAUGGAAAUGGUGUCAGGAAGGAUCAAGGGAUUGGCAGACAUUUUAGGAGCAUUUCAUUGUGGUCCAGAAAGUUCAUAAUAGUUCACGAAGAAAAUGGAAAUAUCUGUGUAGUGUCAGGAAAGAACAAGGGAUUGGAAGACAUUUUAUGAGCAUUUUAUUGUAUUCCAGAAAGUUCAUGAUAGUUUACGAAGAAAGUGAAAAUAUAUGUGUCAACAAGGCAAUAUUUGGAUAGAGACAAAAAUACAAAACAAAAGACAAAAAUAUGAAGGAAAAACAUACACAAGACAAAUAAAAAUAGGAAUAGGAAGGUUCAUCAAGGUUGUAUAAAUGAAAGACAGAGUAAAUAAGACAUAAUAGGAAAUGCUAAUAAAUAUAGAAGCAAUUAAAAUAUAGUAGUGUUAGAUAAAUUACCACACGGAAGCGUUCUCCUUAUUAAUUUCACACACUUAAUUUUUUUUGUCAGUCUGCUCAUGCUCUCUACAAACAGAUUAUCCACACACACAAAAAAAAUAAAUCCCGCUCAAAACGAAGAUUAAAGAGUGGUAACCGUUCAUUCAAUUCGUCUCCGGUAUGAUAUAAAAAUGAACUCUACUUAUUCGGUGCAUCAAAAUAUAGAUCGUUAUUACGUAUACCCAACCAAGGUGUUCAUUAUGUUAUCUUACCUAUACCUGUAAUUUGCGUGUACCUGUGUAUUUACCUGUGGUGUGUGUGUGCGUGUGUGUGUGUGUGUGUGUGUGUGUGUGUGUGUGUGUGCGCUCAUGGUCAAUUUGCCUUAUUUGGGGAAAGAGAGAGAGAGAGAGAGAGAGAGAGAGAGAGAGAGAGAGAGAGAGAGAGAGAGAGAGAGAGAGAGAGAGAAAGGCACGUAAAUUAGUUACAUGAAUCAUCUCACUUUGCCUCAAAUAAAGAAACUACUGUGUGUAAAUGUGUGUGUGUGUGUGUGUGUGUGUGUGUGUGUGUGUGUGUGUGUGUGUGUGUGUGUGUGUGUGUGUGUGUGUGU